rnacentral:rRNA from 1 species
AGCGAACGCUGGCGGCAGGCUUAACACAUGCAAGUCGAACGGGCGUAGCAAUACGUCAGUGGCAGACGGGUGAGUAACGCGUGGGAACGUACCUUUUGGUUCGGAACAACACAGGGAAACUUGUGCUAAUACCGGAUAAGCCCUUACGGGGAAAGAUUUAUCGCCGAAAGAUCGGCCCGCGUCUGAUUAGCUAGUUGGUGAGGUAACGGCUCACCAAGGCGACGAUCAGUAGCUGGUCUGAGAGGAUGAUCAGCCACAUUGGGACUGAGACACGGCCCAAACUCCUACGGGAGGCAGCAGUGGGGAAUAUUGGACAAUGGGCGCAAGCCUGAUCCAGCCAUGCCGCGUGAGUGAUGAAGGCCCUAGGGUUGUAAAGCUCUUUUGUGCGGGAAGAUAAUGACGGUACCGCAAGAAUAAGCCCGGCUAACUUCGUG